GUUGGACUCUUCACUUAUGGAACUAGAAGAACACAGCAAGCUCCUAUUUCCCAGAGAAGGAAGUGAAGCUUUAUGGAAGAAUCCAGUCAGACUCUUGGAAGCAACCUUGUCAAAGCUUUGGCUGGUCUUUGGGCCUGGGGAUUGAGCCUAAGGAGCAGUGAGACACAUCUUUUUGAGGCAUCCAGGCUGCCUUCCCACUUGCAGUCUUCCUGCUAAGUCCCACAAGUAGCUGGGAUUAUAUCUGUGUGCUACUGCAUCCAGGCAUGUGAGCUCAUUUAACACUUACAAAACCUCCAAGAGAAGAUGUUAUUCCCAUUUUAUAAAUAGAAAAGCU
ensembl:lncRNA